rnacentral:rRNA from 1 species
UACGUAGGGCGCAAGCGUUGUCCGGAAUUAUUGGGCGUAAAGAGCUCGUAGGCGGCCUGUCGCGUCUGCUGUGAAAUCCCGGGGCUUAACCCCGGGCGUGCAGUGGAUACGGGCUGGCUGGAGGCAGGCAGGGGAGAACGGAAUUCCCGGUGUAGCGGUGAAAUGCGCAGAUAUCGGGAGGAACACCGGUGGCGAAGGCGGUUCUCUGGGCCUGUUCUGACGCUGAGGAGCGAAAGCGUUGGGAGCGAACAGG